UACGUAGGGUGCGAGCGUUGUCCGGAAUUAUUGGGCGUAAAGAGCUCGUAGGCGGUUUGUCGCGUCUGCCGUGAAAGUCCGGGGCUCAACUCCGGAUCUGCGGUGGGUACGGGCAGACUAGAGUGAUGUAGGGGAGACUGGAAUUCCUGGUGUAGCGGUGAAAUGCGCAGAUAUCAGGAGGAACACCAGUGGCGAAGGCGGCUCACUGGUCCGGUACUGACGCUGAGGUGCGAAAGCGUGGGGAGCAAACAGG
rnacentral:rRNA from 1 species